rnacentral:lncRNA from 1 species
CGUUGGUUGAGGAAUGAGUUAUAUGUACCACUAGGUGUAAUAUACACAGAACAGAAGAAAAUGCAUCACAGAAAAGGGAUCAAUGAGCAGAAGUAAAGGUAGUCUCCAUGACUGGAACCAGAGAUACCAGUGACAUUUCUUUAUCUUGAAAAAAUAAAGAGAAAAUAAGAGCAAACUGCUCUUGUGUGCACUAAACAAAGAUCCAAGCACUGUGUAUCUACUGUGGUGUUAAUCUGAAAUUCAGAUGUUUUAUAAUGGUACACCCUUAAAACAGAAAUCAAAUAGUGGUCUUCAGCUAAUCUCCCAUUCUUGGUGAGAAGUACCGUAGUACAGCAGCACUGUUUCACCACUGGGCUAUUUUCUUUUUCUUCACAUGCAUGCGUUCAGACACCUUUGCAGUGUGCUUCAAUAAGAGAUAUAAGAGCCUGCUCAUGCUGUUAUAGCUACUUCAUCACUUAAUUGAGCUGGUUCCAAGAACUGAGAGGGAACACAGCAAAAUGCUGAUUUCAUCCAAACAGUCUGGACAAAUUAAGAAAAACUCUGAAAUGGGUUUGAGUGAGCAUCUGCCAAAAAAAAAGCAACCUACUGGCAAGCAGCUGCCAUGGCUCAUCUACCCCACAUAUGCACAAUUCUGCAAAUAUAUAAAUUGUUCACAUUAUAAAUUUGGGGCAUUGCCUUUUGCCUUCUUCAUGGAGAAAUGAUGAUAAUUGCCUCCCAAGCACGUCCCUAGUUUUAUUUUAUUUUUAUUUUUUUUCAAAAGAGAAGAGUGGCUUUGUUAUAUAUUCAAUCUGACUCAAAAUUUCUUAGUAGUUGCUUCUUAAUGAAAUAAUCUUUUUCACUCUGUAUCAGCUAUAUACACUGUAUCAGAAAUAGUGCAGUUCAUGGGACUAAGGAAGUGAUCAUCCUCCCUGUACUUACUGUAAGUAAGGCUGCAGCUUGAGUAACAAGUUUUGUGCCUCCCAGUAUAAGAAAGACAUUGAGGCCCUGGAGCAUGUUCAGAGAAGGGCAAUGAAGCUUUGAAGCGUCUAGAGUGCAGGUCCUAUGGGGAGGGGUUUCGGGAGCUAGGAUUGUUCAGUCUGGAGAAGAAAAGGCUCAAAGGAGACCUUAUCAUUCUCUACAACUUCCUGAAAAGGGCUUGUGGUGAGGUGGGGGUCAGCCUCUUCUUCCAGGUAACAGCAAUAGGACUAGAGGGAAUGGCCUUGAGUUGAACCAGAAGAGGUUCAGAUUGGGUAUUACAGGAAAAAAUUGUUCCCACAAGAAGUUGUGAGGUAUUGCAACAGGCAGCCCAGUGAGGUGGUAGAGUCACCAUCCCUGGAGGUGUUCAGGAACCAUGAGGAUGUGGCACUGAGGGACACAGUUAGUGAGCAUGAUGUGAUGAGUUGACAAUUGGACUAGAUGAUCUUAGAGGUCUUCUCCAACUCCAACCUCAAUGAUUCUAUGGAUCUAUGUACAGAAUUAUUAAUACCUGUGAGGAAAUUGCUUUGACUGUGACCUAACCAAAGCAAUUCCAGAAAACUAAAAUGGUUGAACUGUUGGUUCCUUAAGCCGUGGAACUCCCAGUGCUGUUCUCUUGACUCUCCUUUUGUUAGAGAAGUUGCCAGCACUUGGAACACAGGAUUCUGAACUCUACGUGAGUUCAGAAGUAAAGGUGAGAAAAAGACUGGUGCGUCUCUUGGCAGAAAUGUUGUGGCUUACUGAGUCUUAUGAAGUGACUCCUUUUUAAGGGCAAAAAUAACUUUAAAGGCACCAAAUUAAGAAGACACACUAUGAACAAACUGUGGUUUGUAGAACAAUUCCUAGAAAUUCCUAUUAAAUGUGCAAAUGGAUAAAUACAUCAUCCCCUCAUUUUUAUGAAUCAAAAUUCCCAUUCUCAACUGUAUUUAUCAGCAUUUGUAUUGAUUCAAAAAAAUUUCCAUGACCCUUGAUUGGGAUUUGCCUAAAUGAAAUAAAUUUGUUAUUUUUAGUACAGCUGAUGUCACCACAACAGUGAUGUAAUGCACACAAAUUACUUUCUGUUCAGAUUGCACUUGAGCUAAACCAUCAGUCCAUGCUGGAAAUUUUAGUUGUACAGCUUCCACUGCUCAGAAUGCAGCAGAGGAAACGAAAAAAUAUCUUUGACUGAAUAUUUACCAUCAGCCUUCAGGGAAUCAUUUUUUGAAGUGGAAAUUAGAACUAGGCUACAAUUAUGUGAUUUUUACUAUCUCAUGACAUGUCACUUGGUUAUCCAAACAAUAGAGAAAACAGUGAUAUAUCUUUCAGAAUAUGUUGAAAUGACAUCAAAAAUGAAAGCCAGUAACACUACAUAGCAUCUGUAGAUUGAAGAAGGUUUCUGUCUAUAUAAAGACUUAAGAGCUGCUGGAACCCAACUUAGUGAAGUAACUGUACAGAAGAAAUCAACUGCUUAUCAAUAGAUUGUCAAAGUAAUACUAUGGUUACAGAGGAUAGAAAGGACAUUUUGAUUCUUUAAUAUUGAUUUUUGUAUUAUGAAUGUCAUAUAUUCACAGUUAAAAGGAUGGCUUAGACUGAAGUGGUUUGAAGAGACUUUAAAUCAUCAUUAGUCAGAACUGAGUUCACAUUGAUUUUCUGAUCUUUGCUGGCAGAAGCUUUCCGCUACAGACAACAAUACAAGCUUGUGGAUAGAAUCUGUAUACACAAGGCAUGUUUGAAAGCCAAGACACAAAUCAAUUUUCAUAUACAUCAAGCCUGAAGGAAUGUGUGGAGAGGAAUAGCAGCAGAGACUGCAGAAAAGGCAGAUCAGAGAGUUGGAGCUAUUAGUCUGAAUCAAAACCAAAUAUUAUCAUAUUCUGUAUGAAAUAUAAAAUUAAGAAGAGAUUUGAAUAGAUAUCAAGACAUCAGUUGCGCAAAGGCUAUAACCAUGAACCCUCCUUUACAUACAGCUCUUCAUUAGCAGCAGAAUAUCCUCAACUAUUCCGCAUAACAGUAUGGAGCAUGAUGCAGAAUUUGAUGAAGUUUGCUGAGACUAGGUGUGCUCAUGCAUCACAUGGAGAAGUGGAAAUGAGUUCUCAACCAGAAUAUCUGGGUAGUUAUUGUAUUAAUGGAAAGAAAUAUGUCUUGUCUUAUCAGCAAUGUUAUUUAACUUGAGUUUCAGAGACUGCAACACUCUUUUUGUUGUGUAAUAGACAUAGUCCUUCUGUAUAGCUUGUUGAUCUUCCCUUCUUACUGAUCUUUCAGACUGAUAUCCUCAAGGAUUACACUGGGAUACAGCAAAACCUCUGGCUACAGCUCCAAUUUCAUUUGACAUGUAUGCACUAGUGCCUGGCUGUCAAAACAAAAUAGUUCAGAUAAUGAGAACAUGCAUGAUUCUGUUUUCUACUUCUGUUUACAUAAAACCAGAUUUUAUUAAAAUAUGAACAUUUGGAGUUGUAGAGCAGUUAUCUCAAGCCAAUAUGUUUAGAGAGAUGCAUUCAUUCAAAGAAAAGCUGCAGGAUGGUUCUUCUGUUUACCGUACACAAAGACCACAUAUAGGCGAACAGGAGGAUACAAUUUCCAAAGAGGAAGAAAAAAUUAUGAUGGUGUAUAAAAUCUUAAGGAAAAUAAACAAUUUGAGAACCUAAAUAGGAUUUGUUACUUCAUCUUAAACAGAAGUAUGAUCUUUCUUUUAUUUUCCUUUAUUUUACUUUUAUUUUCCUGUAUUGGUAAAUGCAUUUGUGGGAAGCAAUAAUAGUAUCCAAGGGAAAAGAAUGGGAGUUCAUAUGCUGUUAGAAAGUCUGGUGAGGAAUGUUCUAUUUUACUGUUAGGAUAAGUUGGAAGUCGAAUAAUGAAAGGAGAAAAUUGAGAGUAAAAUUGAAAUGAUAUUUGUUCUACCAUUUUAACAGCAUUCCUAAAGAUUGCUCUCAUUUUCAAAUAGUUCCACAUAAAAUCUGAUACUAAAAUGAAAGGCAUCUUGCUUUUUACAUGACCUCUAGAGGGCCUUUCCAAUCUGAAUUACCCAAUAAUUCUAUGAUUCUCUUCAUCUGAGUAACAGAAGAUCCUUAAAAUGUUUUCAUUUCUGAAUGAUUUUGGCUUUUGAACUGUGCAUAGAUAUUUAACUUGAUCAAUGCCUGGUAAUUACCAAUACAAUCUUACCACUCAUUAUCUGUCCCACUGCACUCAAUAAAACAUGUUCAUAGAAAGCUACAUUAAUAAAAAAAAACUCAAAAUCAAUACGAAAAUAUAAUCAUUAACACAUGAAAUAGAUGUUAUUACUGUUAUUACUCUAUUAUUCCAGAGACCAAGCAGUGGAUGUGAGCACACUGAGGCAGUGGGUGGUGUCUCUCCGCAUUGGCGACACUGACAGUGGGUCACCUCGACUGGUACAGAUUUUUAUGAGCACAGCAUGCAGGAUUUUGUUCAUCACUGGCAAAAAUGCAUUGCUCGUAGUGAUGACUAUGCUGAAAAAUAGUGUUUUGUAGCUGAGAAUUUUCUCUAUUAAACAGUGUUAUUGUACUCUUUGCUUCUGUUGUCGUUUCCAUGGAAAUAAAUGGGAGGCAUUACUUUCACGGCAACAUACACAAGGUAUCUAAAUAGCAGUAAGAUUUUUCCUUUUCAUGCUACGAUCUGCAGUUGGUUUACUUAGACUGCUGGGUUCCAUAGUACAUACUUGGAUCCCAUUUUACCUUCUUUUCAUACCUUCCAAUCUUUAUAACAACACUGAGUAAAGAGAAAAAGAACAUGUUCAUUCUAGGAGCAAUAUAACCGAUCUUUUAUGAUAUUACUUUAAUGUUUGCAGCUAAAAAUUGAUAGCUGAUGCAGCAUGGUGUUCCUGUAAAAUGCCUCAUUUGUUUGAAGAAACAUACAAUUGCAGUAAGGAUUAGAGGGCAACUGAAUGGUAAACUGGUUCAUAAAAUAUCAAACACGAAAAUCUGCAGUCAGAUAUCAGGUAAGACGUAAGUCUGCUUGGUCAAACAGGUGGUUAGAAACAAAUAAAAAGGAGAGGUAGAGAGAUGCAAUGUAUUUCCCUGCAUUCUUGUUCAGUAUAGCCCUCAGCAAAGGUUUCUCCUUUUUUAUGCAAGGAAUUAUUUUAUUUAUUUAUUUAUUUAUUGACACCUAAGCAUAUUGAAAAUUCAGAUCACGCAAUAGCCAUUGCGCAUCUGAUACAGUACUGGGAGAAGGUAAGUAAACACUAACUUUAGAUAGCUGUAUAUUUCUAUGCAGCUGUCAGAUAUAUUAUCAGGGAUAGUUGUAUUAUUUAUUUUCUAUAAUGCUCAACCCAGCAUAUUGUUACUCAUUGCAAUAGGUAUAUUUUUCUAGGUUAGAGGUCAUAAUUAUCUGCAAAUCACCUGUAGUUAAAGAGCUCUAGCCUUUGUAUGGGUGAGGAUUUCUCUCCUUAAUCUGUAAUUUAAGAAAGAGCUAGCAGUGGGCCUGAAUUUGAUUUUUCCUGAAAA